rnacentral:tRNA from 1 species
AGGCAUUGGAAAAAGUAACUUUUACAUGUUCCACCACAUCAAGAUGGCCCAUUUGUCUGGCACAAUACC